GGUGAACGCUGGCGGCGUGGAUGAGGCAUGCAAGUCGAAUGGGUUUAGACCCAUGGCAGACGAGGUAGGAACACGUAGGUACAUACCCCAAAGUCAAGGAUACUCCGGUGAAAAUCGGCAUAAUACUUGAUAGUCUCUUCGGAGUAAAGAUUUAUCGCUUUGGGAAUGGCCUGCGUUCUAUCAGCUUGUUGGUAAGGUAACGGCUUACCAAGGCUACGACGGAUAGGGGAGGUGAGAGCCUGACCCCCACCGAUGGAACUGAGACACGGUCCAUACUCCUACGGGAGGCCGCAGUCGAGAAUCUUCCGCAAUGGACGAAAGUCUGACGGAGCGACGCCGCGUGGUGGAUGAAGCCUUUAGGGGCGUAAACACCUUUUAUGGAGGAGGAAUUUUAUUGACGUUACUCCAUGAAUAAGGGGCUCCCAAUUCUG
rnacentral:rRNA from 1 species